AUUUUUUGGACCAACCGAUUUCAACUAGCUGAUCAAGCGCCUCUUUUACGGCAUUACUAUCUUUCUUAGAAAUGGCGGUUCGGAGAGUGGAUAGAUCGACAACACCAGUUGAUGAAGGAGAAGAAGAAGAAGAAGCUGCUGAAGCUCGAAUUUUGAAGCUCAAUUUUCCAGAAAUAAUUAAUGGAUUAUUACAUUGUACUA
rnacentral:misc_RNA from 1 species